rnacentral:tRNA from 1 species
AAAGAAUUAGUUAAAAUAACCUUAAUUUGUCAAAUUAAAAUUACUAAUAAAUCAAUUUAGUAUUCUUUA